AUUUGAGAGGAGCUGUCCUUAGUACGAGAGGACCGGGAUGGACCAACCUCUGGUGCACCAGUUGUCACGCCAGUGGCACAGCUGGGUAGCUAUGUUGGGACUGGAUAAACGCUGAAAGCAUCUAAGCGUGAAGCCAACCUCAAGAUGAGAUUUCCCAUAGCGUAAGCUAGUAAGACUCCUGGAAGAACACCAGGUUGAUAGGUCAGAGAUGUAAGCAUGGCAACAUGUUAAGUUGACUGAUACUAAUAAGUCGAGGGCUUGACCAAAA
rnacentral:rRNA from 1 species